AUCAGCCACAACAUUAAAACCACUGACAGCCUGUUGUAUUAGUAGGGGAGAGCGGGUAUGGUUGCAACAUGGCUUAUUCCUCCAAUCAGGAAUGAGCUAGAGUGAUGAUACUCAUACUGCACAUACUCAGUUAGCCCCUCCUUCUUUCUGGAAGAAAGCAGCCACAUGUGACACACCAUUCCUUCUGCAAAAAAUACUUUUUAAGGUAAAAAAGUAAUUUUCUUUCAUGCUCAGAGUUUUUGUCAUACUUUUUAAACUGUUUGCUUGAAGCAUUAUAAAGUCAUAUAAUUUUAAUCAGUGUUUUCUUAGCUUCUAAAAGGCAUAGCUACCAUGUGUCAAGGCUAUUGCGUCAAGCUAGCAUAGCAAGUUUUAUCAUGGCUGUAGGGACAGUUGCAACAUGCUGUUGCAACUGUCCCCUAUGACAACAUUGAUUUAAAAGCUUGUCAUAACCAGUAUUGUAUAAGUUACUCUAAAAAGUAAUUAAUUACUAACUACUAAUUACAUCUUUCAAUAGCCAGAUAUCUCCCCCUUUUUUUUUCAUUUUACUAGUCUUUGUCUUAAUACAGCCCAUUUAACUGUACACACACACACACACACACACACACACACACACACACACACAGUUCAGUUCAGCUAAGUACACAAAAGUAUUUCAGUGAAUUUCAGUGUCUUGAUUUUGAUUUAAAAAAUAUAUAUAUAUUUUGUAGUUCAAAUUUAUUGUAAUAAUUAACCAAAACAUGGUUGUUACUUGAAAAUAUGUUUUUCCUUUUCUGGUCUUUGUCUUUAGACAGUUAAUUUAACUUAGUGACGACACUGUCUGUGCACAAAUAAAAAUAAAGAAAUUGCAAAAUUAUGUUAAAGAAUUAUUUUUAUUACAUUUUAAUGAAUGUUGCAACUGUCCCUGUGGACUGUUACUACCAUCCCUUCUUAUGGGGUCAGUUGCAACAUUUGACUUUGUCUAUUCAAGUAUAAAUUGUAUAUAUAUUAUCAUAUGUGUUACAGCAGUGUGGGUGGGUAGCUGAGAGAUGUGGGUUUAAUGUAUUAAAAUUUUGGCUUUCCAAUACAAACAGUCUCUGAGAAACUGAAGGAAAUAAAAAAAGUGUUGCAACCAUCCCCACUCUCCCCUAUUUAUUUAUCACCCCUUAUUUAUUUUAGAUACAGUUCCUAUAUAUAGUUAUUUACACAGAGCAAAUAUACUAUUUAUCAAAUCUACUUUUAUUAUGUAUCAUAUUUUAAUGGUGAUAUAAUUUAUUACAGCUGACAGUUACGUGAGCAAACAAGGUUUGAACAUCAACCGUAACAAGAUCAAAUUAAAGUUCAGGGCUUUUUAAUACUUCUGUGUAUAAAUUUGAAGGCUGCUUAUUGGAUCAGUACAGGUAAACGUCAUAAUAUGCAAAUACGCAUUACUUUACGGAAAGCUUACGACUUACUAGCUAAGUCUUGCCUUAAGGACAGGUGGUGCAACCAAAUUAAGCACUGAUUAGUUACAAACUAACUAGUAGUUACUAAGCCCUUAGUGUGAAUUUUACGUCCUAAAUUACAUGAGAACUUACGCACAGCUGGUGCAACCCUACCCAGGUGAACAGUCAGUUCUUGAAUUUCAUGUGUUGGAAGCAGGAAAUAAGGGCAAGCGUAAGGAUCUGAGCAACUUUGAUAAGGGCCAAAUUGUGAUAGCUAGAUGACUGGGUUAGAGCAUCUCCAAAAUGGCAGGUCUUGUGGGGUGUUCCCGGCAUGCAGUGGUUAGUACCCACCAAAAGUGGUCCAAGGAAGGACAACCGGUGAACCGGCGAGAGGGUCAUGGGUGCCCAAGGCUCACUGAUGCGCAUGGGGAGCGAAGGCUAGCCCAUCUGGGCUGAUCCCACAGAAGAGCUUCUGUAGAACAAAUUGCUGAAAAACUUAAUGCUGGCCAUGAUAGAAAGGUGUCAGAACACACAGUGCAUCACAGCUUGCUGCGUAUGGGGCUGCGUAGCCACAGACCGGUCAGAGUGCCCAUGCUGACACCUGUACACCACCAAAAGUGCCUACAACGGGCACGUGAGAGUCAGAACUGGACCAUGGAGCAAUAGAAGAAGGUGGCCUGGUCUGAUGAAUCAUGUUUUCUUUUAGAUCAUGUGGAUGGCCGGGUGUGUGUGUGUCAUUUACCUGGGGAAGAGAUGGCAGCAGGAUGCACUAUGGGAAGAAGGCAGGCCGGUGGAGGCAUUGUGAUGCUCUGGGCUAUGUUCUGCUGGGAAACCUUGGGUCCUGGCAUUCAUGUGGAUGUUAAUUUGACACGUACCACUUACCUAAAGAUUGUUGCAGACCACGUACACCCCUUCAUGGCAACGGUAGUCCCUGAUGGCAGUGACCUCUUUCAGCAGGAUAAUGCGCCCUGCCACACUGCAAAAAUUGUUCCUCGCAACUUACAGGACUUAAAGGAUCUGCUGCUAACGUCUUGUUGACAAAUACCACAGGACACCUUCAGAGGUCUUGUGGAGUCCAUGCCUCGAUGGGUCAGAGCUGUUUUGGCAGCAUGAGGGGGACUUAAAUGAUAUUAAGCAGGUAGUUUUAAAGUUGUGGCUGAUCAGUGCCUGUGUCCAAUUGUUUUUUUUAUUUUUUUAUUGCCUCUGCUCAGUUUUUUAUGCGACCCCUUCAAAAGUAAAACAAUAAAGUAUUAAAUAUACAGUAUAAGUUUCCCAAUUGUUUGACUAGUGGUGCAGUCUGUCAUGGAAAUAAAAUUAUGUGGGACACAAAUAUAUCUAUUUUUUUUUUCUCCCCAGUUUGGCAUGCCCAAUGCGCUAUAAAUCCUUGUAGUGGUGUAGUGACUCGCCUCAAUCUGGGUGGCGGAGGAUGAAUCUCAGUUGCCUCCGCGUCUGGGACCUUCAAUCCGUGCAUUUUAUCACAUGGCUUGUUGAGCGUGUUACCGCGGAGACACAGAGUGUGUGGAGGCUUCACACUAUUCUCCACAGCAUCCAAGCACAACACAACACGUGCCCCACCAAGAGCGAGAACCACAUUAUAGUGACCACGUGGAGGUUACCAAAUGUGACUCUAUACCCUCUCUAGCAACCAGGCCAAUUUGGUUGCUUAGGAGACCUGGCUGGAGUCACUCAGCACACCCUGGAUUUGAACUUGCAACUCCAGGGGUGGUAUGUUGGACACAAAUAUUAAUCAUGAUGAGCAUCAAUCCAAUGGAUAACAGCCAACUGGACAACUUUGUUGCAAUCACUUUUUCAAGUCUGGACACAAAGUUAACCACACAUGAUUCAUUCUAUCAUUCAUAUUCUGUUACUUGGAUGUCUGACCAAGCAGACAACUGUAGAUGCAUUGCGAUAUUUACAGACAGUGAGUGCGUUUACAUGGACACCAGAAAACAGCGUAUUGCGAGAAUGCAGCUUAUUGAGAGAAAGCUGCGUUCCUGUUUACAUGUACUGUAUAAGCGGCAUACUCUUAACCAGUGCUAUAAGUGGGGCAGUAAGCAGUACCUGCACUUCUAUAAUUUACUCUACAGAGUACCGGCAGUUUUUCUUACGUACCACCACUUCUCAGUGUCUCCCGGUACGAUGUCUUUAUUUAAUGUAAGUCAGUGAUUUAAUGCGGCCCGCCAAUCACUUUUAUCUGACCAUCCAAAUGAUUUUGAUAAAAUCGCGGUAAACAUUCGAACACUCUCUGCGCAAAACUCAGCUGUGAGUUUAACAACCUCAACACCUGCAAGAGCAUCAGUUGCCGUCAAGUGAUCCGUGGUCCAGUUCCGGAGGAGCGCACUUGUUUGAGCUUGUCUGGACAUAGUUCAGUUUCACUCUUCUCAAAAACAUGAACCAGCAACUUUUGGGUGAGCACAUUUGACCACAUCUUAUUCACUCAAAUGUAUUAAUGCCAAUUGCUUAGCUGCUGGGUGCAGUCAAAUCUACAGAAUUUAAAAAAACAAAAAAGCUGUUACAGAAGUGAUGUCAGCUCAUAUGCACAACCUUUUUCACAAGAGGCAAAACGAUGAUGAAAACCGAACCUUCAAAGAAAAUACAUAGGAAAAUUAGCUUUUAUUCUCCAUUCUUUUCGGAAGUGCUCGUAAAAAGAUUGUGAAUUGUCAUUGAACUUGCCUAUGCAUAUAUCCUGACAGUGUUUGGUUCUACGUCGUUUUCAACCCUGAACAUCAUCAAAUCAGUUUGUUCAGCGUUUCUAAUGAAUAUUAUCUGCACAAGUAUCUGGCAUCUGUGUGCAAAUGAAUGUGUGCAGGAUAAGGAAGGCACAUUUUACCCUCAUUGAAUGGGAGGAUAAAAAAUAAAUUAAAAAGCAAAAGCAGACAUAAUGAUCUUUUUCAUUUUUAGGCUACAUUUAUUUUGUAUAAAAAGACAGUUCUACAUUAAAUUGCCAUUGUUCUCUUAUAUGUGUUGAUAUUGACAAAGAUAUAGACUUUAGCAAAUCUAAAUAUUCUUUCUCAGUUUUCAUAAACAAUAACCCUACUUUGUAUGUUUUUAUUUUCAAAGUAAAGCUAAUCAAAACCUAUUUGUUAGUUGAGGAUGUAAGGUCAUAUUGGUUCUUCACCCAGAUCUUAUGAAGGAAUGUACGGCCAGACCUUGAAAAUGUUAUUUAAAUACCUCUUUUAACGUAAUUAAAUACUAUUUUAAUGUAAAUAAACAUAUUAUUAACCAUUUUGUUUUACAUGUUAACAUGUUAGUUACAAUAAAAGUGUUAGGUUAGAUAAAUACGGAUAAAAAUGUUUGGCCCCAGUUCAGUUUAUAAAUCCCCAAGAUUAUAUAUUUAUUUUAAAAUAAACAUAUGUUGCAAACAAAAACUGUCUCAGAGUAUAUUUUAUCACCCACCCUAAUGGAGCAGCGUUCUCCAUUACAAUGUAAUAUCCCCGUGAUGCUUGUGUAAAUAACAAACACAGCAUCAGAGAAAGACUUUGCUAUUUUACUCUCUGUUGCUUUGCUUUAUUUACAUAUAUUCCACAACUGUUGCUGUGUCUGUUUCCUUAACCUUCUGUUACGACCUACAGCGGAAUUGCGCUGCAAAAGUGGGGUUCCCUAUCUAUUCAGUUCACUCGGCAUUGCCGUAAGCACUAUGGGGAAGUGUCCUUGCACAACUAUUCAAAACUCCUGUAGAACAGGUGGUUGCAGCUCACCUCUGCCAAAAUACUGCCAUGGGAUGGAAAUCCCGCCCCGCCCACCCUUCAGAGCCAUGUCGACUGACGUCUGCACUGGCUGGAAGAGCUUAUACAGCAGCAGGCCAAGCUGGUUCAGCACUCCACAGGUUAUUCAAGCUUAGCUUCUUCAACAAAUGAAUGAGCAAGGCUCCGAUCCAGAGAGCUCAAAAGAUGUCAAAGAGCUCCGCACCGCUACAGAUUUGGCGCUGUGAGCCAUGAAAGCAUAUAUAUAUAUAUAUAUAUAAAAUGAGAUUGUUGUGGGCUAGAUAAAUACAUUCACUAACAAAAUCAUGCAUUACGCCAUAUUCUGAUGUAAUAUUAUUAAAAAAUGAUCACCAGAACACAGCCAUCCACAGGUAGCGUGUAUGCUGAUCGCGCCAAUCUGCAUAGCCCAUAACUAUAUUAUUUAAUAUAAAAACGAGAUCGUAGUGGCAUGUUUUUGUGUGAUGAAAUUAACAAUUGCAUAUUGGUAAGCCCGCUGCUUUCAACGAGAAACCUUUAGCAUCAAAUUACUGCAGUCAUCUAUAUUUUAUGAUCAUAAUGUUUCUUUGUCUAAAACAUAUCUAUCUUUUUUUUUCUAAAGAAAUACUUAUCCUAUUAUAUAUUGAUUAUGCAUUUAAUUAUAUGAAUUUAAACUGCUGAUCCUGUAUCUGGAGGAAAAAGUAGGAGAGGUUACAUUUUUAUAUUGCUAAUUUUGUAAGUGUAUGAGUCCUAUGCCACCACGGUCUCAGAUUUUGGAGAAUAUUUGAAAUAAUGUAGUUAUGGGCUAUGCAGAUAGGCACAGUCAGCACAUACCGCACCUGUGUAUCGCUGUGUUCAGAGAACCAUAUUGAAAUAAUGACAUAUCAGAAUAUGAUGAAAUUGCUAUUUUCAUUAGUGUAUGAGUCCUAUGCCACCACAAUCUCAGAUUUUGGAGAAUAUUUGAAAUAAUGUAGUUAUGGGCUGUGCAGAUAGGCACAGUCAGCACAUACCGCACCUGUGUAUCGCUGUGUUCAGAGAACCAUAUUGAAAUAAUGACAUCAGAAUAUGAUCAAAUUACUAAUUUCCUUAGUUUAUGAGUCCCACUAUGCCACCACGAUCUCAGAUUUUGGUGAAUAUUCUAAAAAAAAAAAAAAACGAGAUCGUUGUGGCAUGUUUUUGUGUGAUUAAAUUAUCAAUUGCAUAUUGGUAAGCCCACUGCUUUCAACGAAAAACCUUUAGCUUCAAAUUACUGCAGUCAUCUAUAUUUUAUGAUCAUAAUGUUUCUUUGUCUAAAACAUAUCUAUGUUUUUUUUUCUAAAGAAAUACUUAUCCUAUUAUAUAUUGAUUAUGCAUUUAAUUCUAAGAAUUUAAUCAGCUGAUCCUGUAUCUGGAGGAACAAGUAGGAGAGGUUACAUUUUUAUAUUGGGUUUUUACAUAACCCCAGCACUAUCCCUAACCACUUCUCACUAAACACAUUAAAUGUGUACUGGAUAAAGACGAUGCACAUAAUGUUUCCUUUGUCAUUGAAGUGCUAACACCAGAGGUAAGGUCAUUUUACAACACAUAUUCAAUUAAUUGGUAUUGUAUGUUUCGAUUAUUAUAUUUACAGUAAAUACUGCAAAUUUAUUCUGUGUAAAAUAUAUUUAUUGUUUUAAAGCUUACUGUUGUUACCUUGAAGGAUUUAACCGAUAUCAAGCAGAAAGUUGUUUUGGCACUGGAUUAUCAAAAUAUGUGUAGAUCCAUUGUCUGGACCUCUCUCCCGCCAAAAGACAUAUCUUCUCAAAAUAUCAGAUAACUUCUGAAGACUUGGAGGG